CCUGAGGUGUGGAAAGGAGCAGCGCUGGGAAGGGUGCUGGUGUGGUGAAGUUGCUGCCUUACUUUUGGUCAGCGUGCAUUGCAAUUAACUUGUCUUUCGUAGAAUAAGUGUGGUAAUAACUAAACGAGACAACUAGGUAGAGGUUUGCAUGAAAUAAAUCACCUCAGUAACCAGCGAAACACUCGUUAUCUGGGUAGUAGUUGCUUAACUCCGUUUUCUUGAAAGGCACAUCCCGUUUUCUAAUUUGUGAAUGUAUACGCACGUUUCAUAGCGCAUGAUACACGAAUGACAAAUAGAGGUCUUUCUGAACUUCUUAAAUCGCCCAGUCAUUUGUAUAUAAGUAUGGGAACUUCAUGAGCUUCUCGCUCUAGGGAACUACGUAUUGUCCGAAGCGCCGAUUAGUCUCAUCCAAGCAAAUCCGACACGUUUUCAUCUCACACCUUUUUUCCCAUCUUAUUCGCGGUACUGUUUGCUGUCUGCUGAUUCCACUCCUCCCAGCCGUCCCAAGUCAAGCAUCAGCUCUUCAUCUAAGCUUUUACAAAUUUUAUAAUACCACUUAAGCUUCAGGUUAUUGUUUAUAUAGCCCAAAUGUACCCAUACUUCCGAGGAAUCCGCCAGCAACGCCACCUGCCGGAUAGUUGUCUAGCAGGCAGGCAGUAGUCGGUGGGCAUCGAGUGCUGUGGUGUGCUCAUCAGUGUCAACAUUCAGUUUCUCUUGUUUCGUGAGUGUUUUACCGUGACCGUGGCGGCGUGACGUCUCGGUGCCGUCCACGGGCGGCACUGGAGCACCGAGGGAAGACAGCGAGGGAACACAGCGCUGGGCAUCCAACUCGUGGCAGUGUAAGUCUUAUCAACCAAGUACUCUACGCUUCCUCUAAGUAAGUUUCCUAAACGAACAUUUCAUUACGUUAAUUUGGCGGAAUUUGUAAUGUGACAAAUUUUUAGGUGACAUUUUUACGAAGGAAUCUUAGCGAGUGGGAAUUACGUGAGUGGGUUUUAUACUGAGGCCUUCUUUUCAAUUUUCUGUAGGCUGUAGGAAACAACCACAUCCUUCUCUCCACCUUCACUCCCUCACCUCUACAGUUUCCCUCCCUUCUCUCUUUCCUUUCCUUCCUCCAACCCCAUUCUCAUCCCGCGACUACCCGCUUCCUAACUACCUUCCUCCUCCUCCUCCUUCCGCCUUCCCCUCCCGCGGCCUCUCGCUCCCUCCCGCCCUCAGGAGUCGCGUUGGAGGGGCGAUUCGUGGUUGUUGACGCUCGAGAAGGGUUCCCACGCCCUCCCACGCCAGCCCUUCCACGUCCUCUCCCCUUUUGUCCAGGUUUAAACUCCGGUAUCAAGUAGGUAGAGGCGAGAGAUUCUGACUUUGUGAUCUCUCUUGUCUCCCUCCUCCCUUCCUCCUCCCUCCCUCACUCUUUCGUUCCCUUCACCCCUCCGCGCUCUCACCUCCCCGUAACCCUCUUUAUUCUCGCUGAUAACUUCUCUUGACAUUCCACACGUCCUUUUAAUUAUUCUCUCCCUUUUUUUUCUCUCUCUUGCUCACCUUCUAUCUUUAAACAUCUUUGCUUGCAGUUUUUGUGAAGCAACGGUCUUUUUCUUAACUUAAACACUGACUAUCAUUUCCCAACCCUUUCUUUCUUAUUGUUUAUCAAUUUGGGCACCUUAAAUACAAUUAAAACCUCUUUCCUACCUUUAAAACAGCUUGAGGAAUUUAAAAUUCAUAAACCUUCAUCCAUCGCUUAAAUGAUCUUAAUUUUUCUGAUUAAGACCUUUCUUAUCAUCAAACCUUUCAUUUCUUUAACUCCAUAUCCUCAUAACUUCAGAAACGAUAAGAACCUCAUCAUAGACUCCUUCCAUAGCCUGUCUUUCUUAUUUUACAAUCCUUUAUUCCCUCAUAACUUCAUAUCCCCAAAACUCCAAAAAGUAUUAGAACUUCUUCGUAGAUCUUUUCAUUGACUUCAAACACCUUCAUGAGAUGCACGAGGACGUUACAGACCAUCGUUGCUUCAGUCACUCGUACCUCCCUUGAGUCAGUUAGGCGACCAGGCUUUCUCCAAGGUGGGCGUCUUUGCCGGCGGUGUUGAGAGGCGUCGUUAGAAUCAGGGCACUCGGUGAGGCGCCAUCGAGUCCUGUCAAUACCCGCCUGAGGAAAGGAGAAAGAGGCGGAGGACGAGAGGAGAGGGAGGGUUGAAAACAAAACACAAUCGUCACCAGCACGUCAGUUUUCUCUAUAGCCGCGGGAACCAGAUCAGAGCUUUUAUGUUAGAGAUUUAAACGCCAACCGUCUGAGCAGAUGCAAGUCGAUCCCUUUGCUGGCUAAGUGGUCCUCGACUUCGUGUAGGAGGAGGAGGAGGAGGAAGAGGUAGAAGAGAAGGAGGAGGAGUUGGAGGUAGAAGAGGACAAGAAGGAGUGUGUAGAGAAUCAAGUAUUUUACAUUUUAUUAUCGUAUCUUGUUGAUUUCUCGUUCUGUUGAAUCUU